GGGAGGUUCUCCUUUAGUGCAGCUGUGUGUGUGUGUGUGUGUGUGUGUGUUUAAGAGAGAGGAGGGGGACACACUCCACCAGACAAACUUCAGAUGCUUCCUGGUCAACGAGUGUCCUAAAAAACAAACUGGCGUCAGGUCGGACACUUGACUCCAUGCGUCUUCUUUCAGCGUCCGAGGACAGUGCUACUGACAGAGGUACAACUUGUACAGAAACUAAAAUGCUGCAGCUCCAGUUUGGAUCCUCGCGUUGACUGAUUGGCUGAACACCACACAG